AUCCAGCCUGGUCGAGUCAGCCAGUCAGUCCACUGGAUCCGCAGCGCCCACUCCAACAAAAGCACACGCUUGAAGGACAACCGCUCGCCGCUUACGCAGACAGGUCCAUUAGCGAGUCUCGUGUUCUGCUGUGAAUCCACGGAGGACAGUUUUGGAGUCGAGCACCCUCUCGGUCCAGUGUGGUCCAGCUUCAUUAAGAAAGAGCAGCAGCAACAGGAAGCAAGCUGGACGGGGGGGAGGUGAGGGAGGACGAGGGCACCGCCUUUGUCCUGAGACACAGAGUCUAUACCAGCAGCAAUACUACUGACCCCACCCACACAUCCACCUCAGACGGCCAAGACACCAUGAGGGCCAGCGCAGGUCACAGAUCAGAAGGCCCCACACAUAACAGGUGUCUCUUUGCGAGGAGGGUGGUACAUGAAGAGGAGGAGGAAACGACAGAAAGAGAAGAGGAAGAUGGUGAUGAGGAUAAGAGCUCUGAUGAAGGCCUUCUGCUACAGGCACACCAUGCCAUGGAGAGGAUGGAGGAGUUUGUGCACAAGGUCAGACUCUCAAGUUCAUCUCUCACGCACACACACUUGUUUCACUGCUCCGUAAACACAGAUGUGCAUUAUCAUUGAGUUUAUAUGUCGAGGGUCAUACGGUGAGAUUAAAAGCACACCUGACCCGAGCCGAGUGCUCACAGCUGCUUUUACAGGAACACACCACAGUCCACCAACACUAAAAACAUCCCUGCCAAACCAGACGCCCAUCUCCUGGCUCCAGCAGCCUCUCAUCUCAAUCUUGUAUUGAGAGUCUGCCAUAUGCAGAGGAACAGGAACUGAAAGCCAUCCUUUGUAACAUGCGCUGCAAUGUUGAGCCCUAUAAACCAGCUCAAGUUUAGUUUGCUUUUUGAACCCCUUCUGCUUUAAUGGCUCUUUCCUUCCUCUCCUCUCUCCCCCUCUGGGGAAGAAGCCAAAGCUCUCUGUGUCGAAGAGCAAACACAGUGCAAGAUCCAAUCAGUGCCAUUCAAUGUCAGCACUCAGGUACAGAAUCUUGAAAGGAACACAUCUAGAAAGAUUUUAAAACGCACAUCCUGACAGAUAACCGAAAGGCACGUCAUGGAGUCGAUCAAACAACCUGACCUAGUUUCAUUUGUUUUAUUUAUUUAAAAGUAUGUCCAGAUACACAGAGCUAGGAGCUGUUCUCUCAGCAGAUACGGCACAUUCAUGGCCUCUUUGCCCUCGGCUGUAGUCCCUGCAUGUGCUGUACUUAUAGGUGUAAUCCUGUGGUCACGCCUGUGACUGGUUGCACGGGAGUGGUUUUCAUCAGCAUGAUUUGGCAGAAUGCUGCUAAGAAACUGCAAAGCUUCUUCCCAGCAGUGUUACCACAGCUGGUAAAGAGAAACCAGACAACCUAUUGA